GAUUAGUUCAGUGGUAGAACACCAGCUUCCCAAGCUGGUUAUACGGGUUCGAUUCCCGCAUCG
rnacentral:tRNA from 1 species